rnacentral:rRNA from 1 species
UUUCCCGGUUGAUCCUGCCGGAGGUCACUGCUAUCGGAGUACGACUUAGCCAUGCGAGUCACAGGGGGGCAACCCACUGGCGGACGGCUCAGUAACACGUAGCUAACCUAACCUCAGGAUGGGGACAACCUCGGGAAACUGAGGCUAAUCCCAAAUAGGCACCGCUUUCUGGAAUGAUCCGGUGCCCAAAGCUUCGGCGCCUGAGGGUGGGGCUGCGGCCGAUUAGGUUGUUGGCGGGGUAACAGCCCACCAAGCCGACGAUCGGUACGGGCAGUGAGAGCUGUAGCCCGGAGAUGGGGACUGAGACAAGGCCCCAGGCCCUACGGGGCGCAGCAGGCGCGAAACCUUCACAAUGCUCGAAAGAGUGAUGAGGGUACUCCGAGUGCCUAUGCUUUGCAUAGGCUUUUCUCCAGCGUAAACAGUUGGAGGAAUAAGGGCUGGGCAAGACCGGUGCCAGCCGCCGCGGUAACACCGGCAGCCCAAGUGGUGACCGUUUUUAUUGGGCCUAAAGCGUUCGUAGCCGGAUGGGCAAGUCUUUGGGUAAAUCCUACGUCUCAAGCGUGGGAAUUCUAAGGAUACUACCCGUCUUGAGGCCGGGAGAGGCUAGAGGUACUUCUGGGGUAGGGGUAAAAUCCUAUAAUCCCGGGGGGACCACCGAUGGCGAAGGCAUCUAGCUGGAACGGGCCUGACGGUGAGGAACGAAACCCAGGGGAGCGAGCCGGAUUAGAUACCCGGGUAGUCCUGGGCGUAAAUGGUGUGGGCUUGGUGUGAGUGCAUCGAAGAGGUGCCCUUGUGCCGUAGGGAAGCCGUUAAGCCCACCGCCUGGGGAGUACGGUCGCAAGGCUGAAACUUAAAGGAAUUGGCGGGGGAGCAC